GGUUCUGGCAGCCCAGGUGAACAAUGCAUUCUGGCUGUUUUUGUUCUUUCCUGUGAUAGCAGGAUGUCUAACUUCACAGUUAAAAAGCCCGAUAAAUCUGUUUAGGAGCUGCCUGGUAUGUCGAUGUGUACACAUGCUCUCAGCCACAGCGGAACCCCCCCUUCCUCUUCUCCCAUUUAUCUGCCCCAGUCUCUCUGAGGAUGCUAUGAAGGCUGUCUGGACGUGGCUCAGAAAACUGCUGUGAAGACCGCAGGGAGCACAGGACGGCCGAGUCCCCAGCGCUGCCUGUGCCAGGCCUGGCCCACCUGCUGCUGGCACUAGGGACUCAGCACUUUGCGGAAGCUUGGGUAUGACAGCCCUCAGUCGACGUCCCCACUGGCUAAUUUCCACACUCUGAACCAGACCCCUCUCCCUGGGAGCGAGGAGUGAACCACAGCAAUGCCCGAGACAGAUGCUUCCACCUUGAUGUUGGAAUUCUCAGCCUCCAGAACCCAGCAGGAGAGAAAGUGCAGAACGAAGGGGAGGCAAAAGCCC
rnacentral:lncRNA from 1 species